GCUGGGAUUACAAGCAUGCACCACCAUGCCUAGCUAAUUUUUGUAUUUUUAGUGGAGGUGGCAUUUCAGCAUAUUGGCGAGGCUGGUCUCAAACUUCUGGCCUCAUGUGAUCCACCCACCUCAGCCUCUCAAAGCACUGGGAUUACAGGUGUGAGCCACUGUACUUGGCCUAUUUUUCUCUUUAUUAUUGAGUUGUAAGAGUGAUUUGUAUAUAUUCUGUGUACUAGUCCCUCAUCAGAUAGAUGAUUGGCAAAUAUUUUUCCCAUUCUAUAGCUGUGUUUUCACUUACUCGAUGAUGUCCUUUGAAGUAUAAAGUUUUUAAUUUUGAUAAAGUCUACUUUAUUUUUUGUUGUUUAUGCUUUUAGCAUCAUAUCUAAGAAACCAUUGCCUAGUUCAAGGUCAUAAAGAUUUACACCUGUGUUUUCUUCUAAGCAUUUUAUUGUUUUUUUUGCCCCUAGCCCUUUAAUCCCAUUUGAGUUAAUUUUUUUUUUCUUUGAGAUGGAGUUUCGCUCUGUCACCCAGGCUGAAGUGCAGUGGCACAAUCUCAGCUCACUGCAAGCUCCGCCUACCAGCUUCACGCCAUUCUCCUGCCUCAGCCUCCCGAGUAGCUGGGACUACAGGCGCCCACCACCACACCUGGCUAUUUUUUUUGUAUUUUUAAUAGAGACAGGGUUUCACCGUGUUAGCCAGGAUAGUCUCAAUCUCCUGACUUUGUGAUCCGCCUACCUCAGCCUCCCAAAGUGCUGGGAUUACAGGUGUGAGCCACCAUGCCCAGCCUUGAGUUAAUUUUUAUGUAUGAUGCAAGGUAGGGGUUUGAAUUCAUUAUUUUACAUGAGGCUGUCCUGUUGUCCCAGCUCCGUUUGUUGAGAAGACUAUUCUUUUCCCCAUGGAAUGGUCUUGGCCUCCUUUUCAACCAUUAAUUGACCAUAUAUGUAUGAGUUUAAACCUGGAUACUUAUUCAUCUAUAUGCCCAGCCUUAUGCCAGUGCCAUGCUAGCUUGAUUACUGUAGCUUUAUAGUAAAUUUUGAAAUCUGUGGUUUGAAACUUUAAAAACUCUAUAUUGGGGAAAAAUGCAAACACUUGUAAGGGCCUGGCAGGUGCUGUAAAUGAAGGUGACUUAUUUUAAGGCACUAGGGAAGGGUGAAGAAUAUGACAAACCGGAGAACUUGCCACUCAUUAGAAAGCAGCCUCUCUUCUUAGCUCUAGUUUAUUAUUGCCAUGUAGGAAUGUGCACUGAGCAUUACAAAUGUUGUGUUUUCAAAAGAGAAACCAGGAUUACAAGUGUUAAUAUGAUAUUUUCCUUUUAAAAAAAUAAUAUGUCCAGGCCAAAUGAAGCAGAUAUGUAUGUCCAAUGUGCCUGUAAGCUGUCAGUUUUUGAUCCUGCCUUAUAUUCUCCAGGGUAGAACAUUCUUUCUCGUAUUAAAUGUGGUUACAUUAAUUACUGGCUAAGCCAGAAAUCAUGUUUAAUUAUGCUUUAGGUAAAUCCAUGUAUAGGAACUGAUAUACAUAUAGAAUAAACAUAUACAUAUGGAUUUUUGUUUAAUUAUUUGUGAGUGGGAUCUGCUUUCUUACCCUUCUAGUUCAGGGCCCCCAUAGCUUUCUUCCUUUAAAGUAUGUUCUUCUGUAUGGGUCUCACACACUGACCAUUUGGCUUCCCCAUCUCCAGAUCAUCUUUGCAGAUGAAUGCACAGAAGCUGAGGGGCGACACUGGCACAUGAAACACUUUUGUUGCUUCGAGUGUGAGACAGUGCUGGGCGGCCAGCGCUACAUCAUGAAGGAGGGAAGACCCUACUGUUGCCACUGCUUCGAGUCCUUGUAUGCAGAAUAUUGUGACACCUGUGCCCAACAUAUAGGUAUCGACCAAGGUCAAAUGACCUAUGACGGCCAACAUUGGCACGCCACCGAGACCUGUUUCUGCUGUGCUCACUGCAAGAAAUCCCUCCUGGGGCGGCCCUUCCUCCCGAAGCAGGGCCAGAUAUUCUGCUCACGGGCCUGCAGUGCUGGGGAAGACCCCAAUGGUUCUGACUCCUCCGAUUCCGCCUUCCAGAAUGCCAGGGCCAAGGAGUCCCGGCGCAGUGCCAAAAUUGGCAAGAACAAGGGCAAGACGGAGGAGCCCAUGCUGAACCAGCACAGCCAGCUGCAAGUGAGUUCCAACCGGCUGUCAGCCGAUGUAGACCCCCUGUCACUGCAGAUGGACAUGCUCAGCCUGUCCAGCCAGACACCCAGCCUCAACCGGGACCCCAUCUGGAGGAGCCGGGAAGAGCCCUACCAUUAUGGGAACAAGAUGGAGCAGAACCAGUCCCAGAGCCCUCUGCAGCUCCUCAGCCAGUGCAACAUCAGAACUUCCUACAGUCCAGGAGGGCAAGGGGCUGGGGCCCAGCCCGAAAUGUGGGGCAAGCACUUCAGCAACCCCAAAAGGAGCUCGUCACUGGCCAUGACAGGACAUGCUGGCAGCUUCAUCAAGGAAUGCCGAGAAGACUAUUACCCGGGGAGGCUGAGAUCUCAGGAGAGCUACAGUGAUAUGUCUAGUCAGAGUUUCAGUGAGACCCGAGGCAGCAUCCAAGUCCCCAAAUAUGAGGAGGAAGAGGAAGAGGAAGGGGGCAUGUCCACUCAGCAGUGUCGGACCCGUCAUCCCAUCAGUUCCCUGAAAUACACAGAGGACAUGACGCCCACAGAGCAGACCCCUCGGGGCUCCAUGGAAUCCCUGGCCCUGUCUAAUGCAACAGGUAGGUUCUGUUCACCUCGAAAACGGAUAGCAAGGGGGUAAUCUCUGGGUGACUGGAUGCUGGUCCCCAGGAAUUUUUUUUUUUUUUUUUUUUUUGAAAUGGAGUCUCCCUCUGUCCCCCAGGCUGGAGUGUAGUAGCACGAUCCCCGCUCACUGCAAGCUCCGCCUCCAGGUUCACGCCAUUCUCCUGCCUCAGCCUCCUGAGUAGUUGGUACUACAGGCGCCCGCCACCAUGCCUGGCUAAUUUUUUGUAUUUUUAGUACACACGUGUUUCACCGUGUUAGCCAGGAUGUUCUCGAUCUCCUGACCUCGUGAUCCACCUGCCUUGGCCUCCCAAAGUGGUAGGAUUACAGGUGUGAGCCACCGUGCCCGGCCUGGUCCUCAGGAUUUUAAUGUGGUUUCUGCCAUGUGCCCUCUUCCAAUAGGCUGCUGAGGAAGGUAAACCCAAGUUUGAGAUGGCUUCUAUCUUUGAUGGGCUUCCCUGUAAACAAAACCUGAGACAGGUCCAGAUGCCUGUGAUGUAUUGAGGGAGUGCUCCCAGGAGAAGGGGAGUGAGAGAAAGAGGACAGAGCACGGGGAGGAGCCAAGUGAGGAAUGGUGUCUCCACUGGGGUCUGGCUUCUGCCUAAUCCCACAGGGGACUCUGAUGGAUGAGUUGCACUAUAGAGUCAAUUGCUUCUUGUGACAAAGGGGCUGAUGUUUUGUACCAUCGUGUCAGUUGGUCAUCAGCUUUGGGCUGCUGAGGAGUGACAAGGGGGUGAGAUUGUGGAUGUGGGCUUGGGGCAAGGCAGCUCCUGUUGGCCAAAGGCAGCAUUAAAGAAAGAAAAUACUAUGGUCUGAAUGUUUUCCCCAAAAUUCCUAAGUUAAGAUCCUAAAUCCCAAGGUGAUGGCAUUAGGAGUUGGGGCCUUUUGGGAGGUGACUAAGUCAUGAGAGUGGAGACCUCAUGAAUGGGAUUAAUGCCCUUAUAAAAGAGGCCCAAGGGAACUUGUUUGCCGCUUGUACCCUAUGAAGGUGGAGAAGGUGUAGCUGUGAGCUGAUGGCAGUACUCACAGCAGCCAGAGCCCAGUUGCCCCAGCCUGGUGCUGCUUGGGGCACCAAAUCAUCCAUGACAGCUUCUGAGACUGUUCUGAACCUGUUUCUCACCAGGGAACUGGCUUCAAAGUGCGGAUAAAGACAUAAGAAAUGUCUGGCUAGACAAGGAGAAGACAGGCAGGCUGAAAAGAACAGAAGUAGAGAGAGAUAAUGGCAUGCUUCUUUCUCCAGUGAAGUUGUCCAGCUGGUUUUGUGUGCGUGGGAAGACUGAUGUUGGCCAGGCGUGGUGGCUCAUGCCUGUAAUUCCAGCACUUUGGGAGGCCAAGGCAGGAGGAUCACUUGAGGCCAGGAGUUUGAGACCAGCCUGGGCAACAUAGUGAGACUCUGUCUCUAC
rnacentral:sRNA from 1 species